rnacentral:rRNA from 1 species
GACGAACGCUGGCGGCGUGCUUAACACAUGCAAGUCGAACGAUGACGACCGAGCUUGCUCGGUCUGAUUAGUGGCGAACGGGUGAGUAACACGUGAGCAACCUGCCCUUCACUCUGGGAUAACCUCGGGAAAUCGGGGCUAAUACCGGAUAUGAGCUCCUGUCGCAUGGCGGGUGUUGGAAAGUUUUUCGGUGAAGGAUGGGCUCGCGGCCUAUCAGUUUGUUGGUGGGGUAGUGGCUCACCAAGGCGAUGACGGGUAGCCGGCCUGAGAGGGCGAACGGCAAGAGUGGGAAUGAGAUACGGCAGGGACGCAUACGGGAGGAAGAGGUAGGGGAGAUUGAACAAUGGGCGCAAGCCUGAGGCAGGGACGGGGGGGGGGGGAGGACGGGCUGCGGGGAGGAAAAGACUUUCGCUGGGGAAGAAGCGUUUGUGACGGGAUGUAGAUAAGAAGCACCGGCGAACUACGUG